rnacentral:rRNA from 1 species
AGUGAACGCUGGCGGUAGGCCUAACACAUGCAAGUCGAACGGCAGCACAAUAAGCGCUUGCUCUUACGGGUGGCGAGUGGCGGACGGGUGAGGCAUACAUCGGAAUCUACUUUUUCGUGGGGGAUAACGUAGGGAAACUUACGCUAAUACCGCAUACGACCUACGGGUGAAAGCAGGGGAUCUUCGGACCUUGCGCGAUUGAAUGAGCCGAUGUCGGAUUAGCUAGUUGGCGGGGUAAAGGCCCACCAAGGCAACGAUCCGUAGCCGGUCUGAGAGGAUGAUCAGCCACACUGGAACUGAGACACGGUCCAGACUCCUACGGGAGGCAGCAGUGGGGAAUAUUGGACAAUGGGCGCAAGCCUGAUCCAGCCAUACCGCGUGGGUGAAGAAGGCCUUCGGGUUGUAAAGCCCUUUUGUUGGGAAAGAAAAGCAGCAGGUUAAUACCCCGCUGUUCUGACGGUACCCAAAGAAUAAGCACCGGCUAACUUCGUG